rnacentral:rRNA from 1 species
UAGGGAAUCUUCCGCAAUGGACGCAAGUCUGACGGAGCAACGCCGCGUGAGUGAAGAAGGAUUUCGGUUCGUAAAACUCUGUUGUUAGAGAAGAACAGCGCAUAGAGUAACUGUUAUGCGUGUGACGGUAUCUAACCAGAAAGCCACGGCUAACUACGUGCCAGCAGCCGCGGUAAUACGUAGGUGGCAAGCGUUGUCCGGAUUUAUUGGGCGUAAAGCGAGCGCAGGCGGUCAAUUAAGUCUGAUGUGAAAGCCCCCGGCUCAACCGGGGAGGGUCAUUGGAAACUGGUUGGCUUGAGUGCAGAAGAGGAGAGUGGAAUUCCAUGUGUAGCGGUGAAAUGCGUAGAUAUAUGGAGGAACACCAGUGGCGAAGGCGACUCUCUGGUCUGUAACUGACGCUGAGGUUCGAAAGCGUAGGUAGCAAACAGG